rnacentral:rRNA from 1 species
UAGGGAAUCUUCGGCAAUGGACGAAAGUCUGACCGAGCAACGCCGCGUGAGUGAAGAAGGUUUUCGGAUCGUAAAACUCUGUUGUUAGAGAAGAACAAGGACGUUAGUAACUGAACGUCCCCUGACGGUAUCUAACCAGAAAGCCACGGCUAACUACGUGCCAGCAGCCGCGGUAAUACGUAGGUGGCAAGCGUUGUCCGGAUUUAUUGGGCGUAAAGCGAGCGCAGACGGUUUCUUAAGUCUGAUGUGAAAGCCCCCGGCUCAACCGGGGAGGGUCAUUGGAAACUGGGAGACUUGAGUGCAGAAGAGGAGAGUGGAAUUCCAUGUGUAGCGGUGAAAUGCGUAGAUAUAUGGAGGAACACCAGUGGCGAAGGCGGCUCUCUGGUCUGUAACUGACGCUGAGGCUCGAAAGCGUGGGGAGCAAACAGG